AUCCGGAGGGUGCAAGCGUUGUCCGGAUUUAUAGGGUUUAAAGGGUGUGUAGGCGGUGUAUUAAGUCAGUGGUGAAAGCCUGCGGCUCAACCGUAGAACUGCCAUUGAUACUGACACACUUGAGUAUGGACGAGGUAGGCGGAAUUUAUGGUGUAGCGGUGAAAUGCAUAGAUACCAUAAAGAACACCGAUAGCGAAGGCAGCUUACUAGGCCAUAACUGACGCUGAGGCACGAAAGCGUGGGGAGCAAACAGGAUUAGAUACCCCUGUAGUCC
rnacentral:rRNA from 1 species